rnacentral:misc_RNA from 1 species
GGGGGUGAGGUUGUCCCGUGGGAAUGAGAUAAUCAACAAACCACAAUGAAAAGGCUUUAAAUCAUAAUCGAUCGAAUACAGAAUCAAAAUCAAUCAAAUUUAAAUUGACAAAAAAAACCUUAAAUUAAAUUUGAAUAAAUCAAUUCGAUAUCAUUUUGAGCUAAAAUCAAUUUUUCGUUUAAAAAAAAUUAAAAUUUUCAAAGAAUAAAUUUAUCAGAAUCAAAAUUGAAAUCAACCCGUCAAUCAAACUUCAGUUAACCGAUACAAAUCGAACGCAAUAUAUUUGGGCUCCCGUGAAUCAUAAAAGUACAAGAACGUCUGCCCUACCCCAUGGUUUACCUCUUCCGUAAGGAAGCUGUGGCCAUGAACCAUGUGAAUUUUCAUGAUAUGGGACCUUCCCGCACCCUAGAAUUAGGGUUUAGACCUCUUGGACCUUUUGCCCAUGCCUACAAGCUUCUCCCCUAAAAUUCCAAACAUGCCGAUCCUUCUGAUUUACUGAAAGAAUUGGCGAAGCCCAUGGCCAGCAAGCUUGAUGUUCCCCCGGCUAUGCCUUACAAUUCUUCCUCCAGCCAAAUAUAUUACCAGUAAAACCCCCAAAUCCUCCAAUCACCAACUAUUUUAGACUUUUUUUCCCAAAAAAUUUGCAGCAAUUGGGCGCCGUAAGAGGGCACAUGCCUUUGUGAUUUACAAUUAGAGAGGCUUGUCUGUUACAGCCAGAGAUCAACACCAAAGAGGCAUGAUAGAGAUCAAGUCGCGACAUCACAAUUUUACCUUUAAAACCAACAGACUCCAAUGGAACUUCAGCGACUCAAGGGAAAUCCAAUAAUCCUUUCGAACACUGAAAAAUUGAAAUUUUUUCUCAUAUAUUAUAAAAUACAUCAAUUUGUCAAGAGGCCAAACAACCCACAACCCUGAAUACCUACACACCUCGAAAAAGAAAAAGAAACGACUAAAGAAAAAAAAAGUAGGAGACCAAGAAGGGGAGAAAAAGAAUGAUUUACAAAUUGUUUUGGAGAAAAACACAAACCUCAGAAGAAUAACAAAAUUUGGUAGGAAAAAGGGUUAGAUAUCUUCACUCUUGCUUCACAGCCUAAUCAAGCCAACGAGUAACUCCAUCUUCUCCUACCACUGCCAGAAUCUCAACGCGUACAUCCAAAAUAGCCUGCAGUUUUUUGCACCAAAUAAAGCAUUUCAAACGAAAGAAAGAAAAGAGGGAAGAAAGGGAAAGGAGGGAAGGAGAGGGAAGAGAGCGAGAGAGGAUAAAGGGGUCCUCAAUAGAGUGAGUAGGAUAGGGUGAUGGGUACUGGUAUGUUUAUCAAAAUUUCAUACACCUUCUUACAUAUAUAUAUAUAUAUACACAAAGUCAGGAUUCAGGACAGUUUAUAGAGAAAUAUUAAAUCCUUGACCAUUGUAAACAUUUGCUACUUAAUCCUUAAGAGUAGAAGUCCUUGAAUGGAAAUUUCAUGUUGCAGCCAGUGCAAAAAACCUUACUUACCAAAGGAUUUCUACAGUUAACCAGCCUACAUUCCUCCAAUGAACCUUCCAACAUCCAACUCUCCCAAACAUCAAAGCUGUGACUAGCAAAUACAAAUUCCAUUCUUCUGUUAAUCUGCAAUUUCAAGAUAAAACUUGACCUUAAUCCCACAAACAGUAAACGUUGAAUUUAGCUACUACGACAUCAACAUCACUGGUAUAUUAAGUAUGUUUUGUGUUUCAAUCAUCCCAUGAAAUUACAAGACAUGGAGAUGCUCUGCAGCCAAGUUGUUAUUUUCUUUACUACUGCAAUGAUGUGCAUUAGGAACUGUAUAAAAAUAAUAAGAAGCAGACAGCUUUUCCUUUGAACAAAUGGCCCAUAUACACAUGAAAUGUCUAUUGUCCUAACAUGGAGCAUUCAGAAGCAAAAAUAUAAAUAAAUCUAAAAUAUUUACUAUUUGAAAAUGACUAUGGAGAUUAAAGCAUACCUUGCUACUAUGGAGAUUAAAGCAUACCUUGCUUAACCAUUUAAGAUAAUUCAAGGCUUUGAAAAAAGGUCACAUCAGCAAAAGCAAAAGCAAAGCAAUCAUACUGGUUAAUUAUAUAAAAUCAUAUCAACUUGCAUCAAUCACACUCCCUUUAAGUACUAGAAAAAGAAGGUAGUAGCACUUGAGGUGUGCUCUUCAACAACUUAACCUUCUAAUAAUAUAAAGUACCUGCAAUAACUUUCCACCAGCAGCAAAAGAACGCAACCCAAUAGUGUCCUUGCUUCUGAAAACAACAAGGAACUGUGCUGCAGGAUCUCUUUUUGUUACAUUUGACAUGGAAUCCAAGAACCAACCACCCCCUUUAACUCUCUGCCUUGAGACAUGGAGUUCAGGGUGAUCUCUUGCAUAUAAAGCAAUAACACACCCAUCUUUCAGCAGCUCACUAGACUUUCUGCUAAGCUUCUUGCUUGAUCUUAAAAGCUGGUCAGAAGUUGAUUCUUGCAUUGAUGCUAUUGGUGUUUUCCUACUACUUGAGUCUUCAGGGGAACCGAACCUAGAACUGGAACUUAACACUUGAUCAGUACCACUCAUAGCAGUAUCAUCUUCACGAUGUAAAUUGCUUUCCUUUUCUAAUUGAGAAGGAUCAUCUGAUUUCUGCAAGGAUUUUUGACGGCCAUGUCUUUUUUUUGCCUUCUUACCUGAUCUGCUGCUUCUCCCUUCAGACCUUACAGCUGUUUGAGACAAGCCAGAACCCUUAGCCUGGCUUGGAGAUUCAGCUGAUUGAUUUUUUCCCUUUCUGUUGGAGCUUUCUGGACUUAACAGAAUAUCACCCUUCAACUGCUCACCCACAGAAGCCUGUUGAGCACUUUCAUUUUCUUGUUUGAGAAAUUCUUCAUUUUCAUCAGCUACUUCACUCUCCUCUUCCUCAUCAGAGAUGACAUCCUUUGGUAUAACCCCAUCAAAGAAGAAAGACUGCAAUAAAGAGAUGGCUUUGUCCCUUAUCUCCAUCCAUACUUCUUCACUGUAAUCUGCACUGCGUGGAAGUAUCAAUACAUUGGGCAUCUCCUUUACCCAUGCUUCCAUCCACUGUGGUCCUUCAGCACCAUCCAGAGCACAUCCCGCCAAGGUUCCAUCAAUCAAAAGCUGCUUCAAAGCACAGUCAUCAAGUAGCUGACUGCUUCCAGUAUUCACUAGGAAUGCCCCUGGCUUUAUAUGCUGCAAACAUUCUGCAUUGAUGAUCUGAACUGUUUCAUUUGUUAAAGCACAAUGAAGUGAGAUAAGGUCACUUGCAGCUAGUAAAUCAUUAAGAGUAUCCAUUCUUCGGGCUGCAGGUGGAAAUCUUAUGGAAGAUGCACUUACUUUUCCUUUUCCCUGUACAAAGAUAGUAUGGUCCAGAAGUUAAUAGCAAAAGCAAGUAAAGAUGCAAAGAACAAAUAAACACAUAAUUGCACAGAAAUUAAAAACUAAAAGAAUAAAUAGCAAGAAAUCUAGUGCAUUAAAUGGGAAGUUAUUGUUUUCUAGAAUGCCAUUCACUAUUCAACUUCUAACUGAAUGCCAUCAUAAUCACAUCUCAAGUCAUGAAACAUAAAGUACAACAAAGCAUAAGCACAUAAUAUACGUUCGUCUCACCAUUUAUUCAAGUUGUCUUGCAGUGAUAUAAUGGCCAGUAGUAUAUCUAGGACAACCUCAAACCAAAAUACUUCAGAAUCACAUAUAACUGAAUUUUAACUACUGAAUUGCUAAUUAGCACCCUAUGCCAGAAAUAGAUUACUUCAUUCUUUCUCAAUAAAUAUCCUAAGCACCAAUUCAAAGCAUACUUCUUAGCUAAUUGUCAAUUGGAUGGAUAAACAAGAUGGCACAAAUUUUAUUGAAUUUUAAGAGGCUCUACUACUAUGUAGUAGCACGUUGUGGAUGUUCUUAACUUGUGCAGAAUUUCUACCCAACUUCGUUAAAAUCACUUCUUUCUCUCCUCUCCCCCCACCACCCCAAAACAAUUAAUUCACUGGUGAAAAAGCAUAUUCGCAUUCUAGGCACCAAACAUAACAGUGGCUCCCAAAUUCAUCUAUUAUAGAACUAAAUCACUCCACAUUGUUAAACUUAUACCUCGUGAACAUCAAAAUAUAGCACACUCAUUUUGAAAGCCAAGCUCCUAGUAGCCAAGGACCUCGCCGAUGCAGAUCUACCAACGAUCCCCAAAACCAGCCCUCUACACCUUCUCAUUCCCCGACACAGCGGCUGAACGGAGCCGAGCCAUCCUGAAGCAGAGAGCGCGUGGCGGGAGAGCAAAUGCGUCCGACGCAGCAAGCCAAGGAACAGAGCCAUCACUGUGUCGGCGAUCUCUUCGGCCCGCGACGUGUCCACAUGAACAAGCCGGAGCCCCAGGUCAGCGGCAAGAGCCGAGUCUACGGCACGGUCAGCCGAACCAAGGCAUAGGAUGAGCUGGUAGGGACGAAGACGGCGCUGGGCGGCACGAGGGAGGUAAGCGAGAGAAUGGAGAAGCACAGCGGCAGCUGAUUCAAUCUUGCCAUCAGCUAGGCGACUAAGCGGCACGUGCUCGACGCUUGCGACGCCGGCUAGAGAGCCUUGCUCGAUCGCGCAAUCCUCGAUGCAGUUGAUGGUUACUACUAAGGGAAGAGCUUGCGCGGGGCUGUUACGGUGAGACAUUGUCGCAGAGGAUCUGAUAUUGACGUUAGUCAUUACGUUGUGCUUCUAGUCUGAGCAUGCUAAAUGUGGUGGCGGUGGUAAUGGUGCCGUGGUGGUGGUGAUUAGGGUCUAACGUUGUAAAUUUGAGCAUUUCUGAGGGGUUUUCAGCCUACAAGGAAAGUGAAAGGGCAUCUAAUCUAAGUUAGGUUUUGUUUGUGACAU